UGGAGCGGUCCCUCGGACCCUCCAGCGAACACAAACGAAGGCUGACGAAGGCUAGAGCGGUCCCACUGACCCUCCAGCAGACGAAGGCCGGAGCGGUCCCUCGGACCCUCCAGCAAAGACAAACGAAGGCUGGAGCGGUUCCCCGGACCCUCCAGCGAAGACAGACGGCUGAAGCGGUCCCUCCCUCGGACCCUCCAGCGACGGCGGACGGCUGAAGCGGUCCCCGGGCCCUCCAGCGAAGACAGACGGAGGCCGAAGCGGCCCUCGGACCCUCCAGCGAUUGGACGAGCCCCCAUAUGUUACACCCCGGCCUAGGCAACCGGGGUGCAACGCAGAAAAAUAAAAAAAAGGAAAAUAAAAAUAAUCCCAAAACGAGAUUUAAAGCAAAACACCACAUUUAUUUACAUCACCAAACACCAGACGUCAAACUAUUUACAACGGGGGGGAGAUCGCGACCAUGACAUACAGAAACACAAGGCUUAAAUACAUAGAAGGAGCAAUCAGGGAAUGGACCACAGGAGGGAAACACAGCUGGGGCAAAUUAGAACUGACGAGACAGGGAAAAAUGUAAUCUGAACACACUAAGAUAACACAGACUUUCAAAGUAAAACAGGAAACACAUGACAGUUUGGUAAAAAACAAAACACUGACAACACCGAAACGUAACAUUUCCCCCCACCCAAAAAUCAAACAUGUAACCCCAAGUGAAAUGUUUGAUCAAACAAACGAAGGCUGAAACGAAGGCAGACGAAGCUGAUGGAGGCUGGAGCGGUCCCACUGACCCUCCAGCAGACGACGAAGGCUGGAGCGGUCCCUCGGACCCUCCAGCGAAGGCGGAUGAAGGCUGGAGCGGUCCCACGGACCCUCCAGCGACGACAAAGGCUGGGGCGGUCCCACGGACCCUCCCCCCAGCGAAGGCGGAUGAAGGCAGACGAAGCUGAUGGAGGCUGGAGCGGUCCCACGGACCCUCCAGCAGACGACGAAGGCUGGUGCGGUCCCCCGGACCCUCCAGCAGAGGCGGAUGAAGGCUGGAGCGGUCCCUCGGACGCUCCAGCGAAGGCGGAUGAGCAGCUCACUAGCUGCACACACGGACACGCAGCCCACCAGCUGCACACACGGACACGCAGCCCACCAGCUGCACACACGGACACGCAGCCCACCAGCUGCACAUACGGACACGCAGCCCACCAGCUGCACACACGGACACGCAGCCCACCAGCUGCAGAAGGCUGGAGCGGUCCCUCGGAUCCUCCAGCGAAGACAGACGGAGACUGAAGCGGUCCUCGGACCCUCCAGCGAAGACAGAAGGCCGAAGCUGUCCCUCCUUCGGACCCUCCAGCGAUCCCGGACGAGCCCCCAUAUGUUACACCCCGGCCUAGGCAACCGGAGUGCAACACGAAAAAAAGUAAAAAUAAAGAAAAAAAAACACACAAAAAAAAACCCCACUAAGGCUCUCCACCAAAAUCCCGAAACGAA
ensembl:lncRNA